rnacentral:tRNA from 1 species
GACAGUUUGGCCGAGUGGUUAAGGCGACAGACUCGAAUGUGGUCACCUCCAGGGGUGCUUCUCACUACUAGUUAUCUGUUGGGUUCGCCCGCACAGCACGUCUCCCCACCCUCCACCGCCUGAAAUUCUCGCUAACUUACAGUAGGGUUCAAAUCCUGUAGCUGUCG